CAGAAAACACAAUGUUUUAGGUCUGAAAAAUACAAUUCUACCCCCCAGGGGGAGAAAAGUUGGAAACGCUUCCGGUUAUGCGUGUCAUCCUUGCGCUAUUUGAAGGGCAUUCUUCUCUGUUCCAAAUGUUCUUAAUUUUUCCAAAUGUCUCCUCCAGUCAGAGCUUCAGCUUGUUUUAAAUAUGAGAAAGAGAGCAAAAUCCACCAAUGGAAGCCUAGCUUGUUCCAAAUGUUUUUACCCAAUCAUCGUCCUACAAAGUUCUAGUAACGUCAACACAUCACAAAAAUCUUCAUCUGGCAGCCAUUGAUUGAUCAUACCGAGUAUCUGAGGAGACCUAUCAAGCAAACAUGGAAACUCCAAAGUUCCGGUUCACGCCCUCACAGGAGUUGGUCCUCAAGGCCACACCUCAGGCAGUGAAGGUGGCCGCUGACGGCCCCCCUGCUUC